rnacentral:rRNA from 1 species
AGUGAACGCUGGCGGUAGGCCUAACACAUGCAAGUCGAACGGCAGCACAGUAAGAUCUUGCUCUUACGGGUGGCGAGUGGCGGACGGGUGAGGAAUACAUCGGAAUCUACUUUUUCGUGGGGGAUAACGUAGGGAAACUUACGCUAAUACCGCAUACUACCUACGGGUUAAAGCAGGGGAUCUUCGGACCUUGCGCGAUUGAAUGAGCCGAUGUCGGAUUAGCUAGUUGGCGGGGUAAAGGCCCACCAAGGCGACGCUCCGUAGCUGGUCUGAGAGGAUGAUCAGCCACACUGGAACUGAGACACGGUCCAGACUCCUACGGGAGGCAGCAGUGGGGAAUAUUGGACAAUGGGCGCAAGCCUGAUCCAGCCAUACCGCGUGGGUGAAGAAGGCCUUCGGGUUGUAAAGCCCUUUUGUUGGGAAAGAAAAGCAGCAGGUUAAUACCCCGCUGUUCUGACGGUACCCAAAGAAUAAGCACCGGCUAACUUCGUG